AUUGAACGCUGGCGGCAUGCCUUACACAUGCAAGUCGAACGGCAGCGGACCUUCGGGUGCCGGCGAGUGGCGAACGGGUGAGUAAUAUAUCGGAACGUACCUUUCAGUGGGGGAUAACGUAGCGAAAGUUACGCUAAUACCGCAUAAGCCCUGAGGGGGAAAGUGGGGGACCGCAAGGCCUCACGCGAAUGGAGCGGCCGAUGUCAGAUUAGCUAGUUGGUGGGGUAAAGGCCCACCAAGGCGACGAUCUGUAGCGGGUCUGAGAGGAUGAUCCGCCACACUGGGACUGAGACACGGCCCAGACUCCUACGGGAGGCAGCAGUGGGGAAUUUUGGACAAUGGGCGAAAGCCUGAUCCAGCAAUGCCGCGUGCAGGACGAAGGCCUCGGUUGU
rnacentral:rRNA from 1 species